rnacentral:rRNA from 1 species
AACGAACGCUGGCGGCAUGCCUAACACAUGCAAGUCGAACGAGACCUUCGGGUCUUGUGGCGCACGGGUGCGUAACGCGUGGGAACCUUCCCUUAGGUUCGGAAUAACUCCCCGAAAGGGGUGCUAAUACCGGAUAAUGUCUACGGACCAAUGAUUUAUCGCCUUUGGAUGGGCCCGCGUUGGAUUAGCUAGUUGGUAGGGUAAAAGCCUACCAAGGCGAAGAUCCAUAGCUGGUCUGAGAGGAUGAUCAGCCACACUGGGACUGAGACACGGCCCAGACUCCUACGGGAGGCAGCAGUGGGGAAUAUUGGACAAUGGGCGAAAGACUGAUCCAGCAAGGCCGCGUGAGUGAUGAAGGCCUUAGGGUUGUAAAGCUCUUUUACCCGGGAUGAUAAUGACAGUACCGGGAGAAUAAGCUCCGGCUAACUCCGUG